rnacentral:rRNA from 1 species
AGCGCAGGUGGUUUAUUAAGUCUGAUGUGAAAGCCUUCGGCUCAACCGAAGAAGUGCAUCGGAAACUGGGAAACUUGAGUGCAGAAGAGGACAGUGGAACCUCCAUGUGUAGCGGUGAAAUGCGUAGAUAUAUGGAAGAACACCAGUGGCGAAGGCGGCUGUCUGGUCUGUAACUGACGCUGAGGACUCGAAAAGCGAUGGGUAAGCAAAACA